GACGAACGCUGGCGGCGUGCCUAAUACAUGCAAGUCGAGCGAAGUUUUUCUGGUGCUUGCACUAGAAAAACUUAGCGGCGAACGGGUGAGUAACACGUAAAGAACCUGCCUCAUAGACUGGGACAACUAUUGGAAACGAUAGCUAAUACCGGAUAACAGCAUUAACUGCAUGGUUGAUGUUUAAAAGUUGAUUUUGCUAACACUAUGAGAUGGCUUUGCGGUGCAUUAGCUAGUUGGUGGGGUAAAGGCCUACCAAGGCGACGAUGCAUAGCCGACCUGAGAGGAUGAUCGGCCACACUGGGACUGAGACACGGCCCAGACUCCUACGGGAGGCAGCAGUAGGGAAUCUUCCGCAAUGGGCGAAAGCCUGACGGAGCAACGCCGCGUGAGUGAAGAAGGAUUUCGGUUCGUAAAGCUCUGUUGUUAGGGAAGAAUGAUUGUGUAGUAACUAUACACAGUAGAGACGGUACCUAACCAGAAAGCCACGGCUAACUACGUGC
rnacentral:rRNA from 1 species